AUUGAACGCUGGCGGCAGGCUUAACACAUGCAAGUCGAGCGGGGAAUGGUAGCUUGCUACCUGACCUAGCGGCGGACGGGUGAGUAAUGCUUAGGAAUCUGCCUAUUAGUGGGGGACAACAUUCCGAAAGGAAUGCUAAUACCGCAUACGCCCUACGGGGGAAAGCAGGGGAUCUUCGGACCUUGCGCUAAUAGAUGAGCCUAAGUCGAGAUUAGCUAGUUGGUGGGGUAAAGGCCUACCAAGGCGACGAUCUGUAGCGGGUCUGAGAGGAUGAUCCGCCACAAUGGGACUGAGACACGGCCCAGACUCCUACGGGAGGCAGCAGUGGGGAAUAUUGGACAAUGGGCGCAAGCCUGAUCCAGCCAUGCCGCGUGUGUGAAGAAGGCCUUUUGGUUGUAAAGCACUUUAAGCGAGGAGGAGGCUACUUGGAUUAAUACUCUAGGAUAGUGGACGUUACUCGCAGAAUAAGCACCGGCUAACUCUGUGCCAGCCGCCGCCGUAA
rnacentral:rRNA from 1 species